AUUAACUGCUACCACCACUCCAAGGAAGGGGAGGAAUGAAGGAAACUUAUUUGUAUUCUGGAAACUAGAGGAGAAAACCUGACUGAAAACAUAAUGAAAUGAGGCAAUAUCUGAGCCCAGGAGCAAGAUGAGAUUCAGAAUAAUGAUAGUGUGAAAACAGUGCUGUGCUCCAUUAGAGGCAGAAAAGGGCCCUCUGGCUGACUACAUGCACUGGCAGAGAAUGGAUGGUUGGUCCAGACACUCUUGCUGGCAGCUCUGAGGACAAAGCAGGAACAGA